GACGAACGCUGGCGGCGUGCUUAACACAUGCAAGUCGAACGGACUACUUUGCUUCGGUAAGGUGGUUAGUGGCGAACGGGUGAGUAACGCGUAGACAACCUACCUCUUAGAUGGGGACAACAUCGCGAAAGCGGUGCUAAUACCGAAUGAAGUGACUUUCCUGCAUGGGAGAGAUACUAAAGGUGGCCUCUAUUUAUAAGCUACCACUGAGAGAUGGGUCUGCGUCUGAUUAGCUAGUUGGCGGGGUAAUGGCCCACCAAGGCGACGAUCAGUAGCCGGUCUGAGAGGAUGAACGGCCACAUUGGGACUGAGACACGGCCCAAACUCCUACGGGGGGCAGCAGUGGGGAAUCUUCCGCAAUGGACGAAAGUCUGACGGAGCAACGCCGCGUGAGUGAAGAAGGUUUUCGGAUCGUAAAGCUCUGUUGUUUGAGACGAAUGUGCCUGUUUCAAAUAGGGAUAGGUAAUGACGGUAUUAAACGAGAAAGCCACGGCUAACUACGUGCCAGCCGCCGCGGUAA
rnacentral:rRNA from 1 species